CUCAGGAUGAACGCUGGCGGCGUGCCUAAUACAUGCAAGUCGAACGAGGUAGCAAUACCGAGUGGCGAACGGGUGAGUAACACGUAGGUAACCUGCCCUUAAGCUUGGGAUACCCAGAGGAAACUUUGGCUAAUACCGGAUAACAACAGAGAAGGCAUCUUCUUUGCUUGAAAGGCCCCUUCAAGGGUCACUUAAGGAUGGACCUGCGGCGCAUUAGCUAGUUGGUGAGAUAACAGCCCACCAAGGCGAGGAUGCGUAGCCGAACUGAGAGGUUGAUCGGCCACAUUGGAACUGAGACACGGUCCAAACUCCUACGGGAGGCAGCAGUAAGGAGUUUUCGGCAAUGGGGGAAACCCUGACCGAGCAACGCCGCGUGAGCGAUGACGGCCCUAUGGGUUGUUAAAAAGCUCUGUUGUAAGCCAUGAAUGGUAGCUUGAGGAAAUGCAAGCUAUUUGACGACAGCUUACCAGAAAGCCACGGCUAACUACGUGCCAGCAGCUGC
rnacentral:rRNA from 1 species